AGCGAACGCUGGCGGCAGGCCUAAUACAUGCAAGUCGAGCGCACCUUCGGGUGAGCGGCGGACGGGUGAGUAACGCGUGGGAACGUGCCCUUUGGUACGGGAUAACUGAGGGAAACUUCAGCUAAUACCGUAUGUGCCCUACGGGGGAAAGAUUUAUCGCCAUUGGAGCGGCCCGCGUUGGAUUAGGUAGUUGGUGAGGUAAAGGAUCACCAAGCCUACGAUCCAUAGCUGGUCUGAGAGGAUGAUUAGCCACACUGGGACUGAGACACGGCCCAGACUCCUACGGGAGGAAGCAGUAGGGAAUCUUGCACAAUGGGCGAAAGCCUGACGCAGCCAUGCCGCGUGAAUGAUGAAGGUCUUAGGAUUGUAAAAUUCUUUCACCGGGGAAGAUAAUGACGGUACCCGGAGAAGAAGCCCCGGCUAACUUCGUGCCAGCAGCCGCGGUAAGAC
rnacentral:rRNA from 1 species